CAAGGUAAGGACAUAUAGGCCAUGGAAAUUCUAGUAAGCUGAAAAGCUUAAGUUAGAAAUGAACAAAAUAAAAUUUCUAUAUGGAAAAAUUGGUCCACUGUCAUCUUUCAUGAAAAUAUUUAAAUAAUGCAUUUUUGUUCUGCAAGCUAAUAAUUAAAAUAAUUCAUAAUGCAGCACCAAAAAAUGAAAGUAAAAUGACAAUAAAUUAUUUAUAUGAGUUAAAGAAUCACUGCUUAGAAAACAUAACGAUGUUUAUCUCCAAGGUUUUCAUUUUUCUCAAAAAACAUAUUUAAAAAAUUCAUUCUACCUAGUACACUUUUUAUCCUUACCUGGGAAUAUUUAUUAUUGUCUGAAAUAUUAGAGAAUCACUUCUUAAUAUAUUUAAAUAUAUAUUAAAUACACAUUUGAGCUAUAUCUUGUACCUCCUCAUAUCUAGUAUCACUGUAAUAACUCAUUUUCAAAGCACUUUCACUUGAGAAUGUUAAACAGUGAGCGCAAGGAGUUGAGUUGUAUAUAGUCUCAACAAAAGUAUCUUGAGUAUUUCAAAUUGGUAAAUUUUCAUUUUUUUCUAAGUGAAUAUAAAAAGUAUUUUAAGCAUGACUACAAGUUAACAGAGCAGUACACAACAUGAUAGUCAAUGGCAUACCCAUUAAAGGGCAUCUGCAAUCUCUAAGUAUCCAUUAUAUAUGCUAAAGUUGAAAAUAUCCAAAUAUUUGCCAUCUAAGAUUUCUUGUUUUGAACUUAAGAUACCCAAAGCUGUUUAACAAAUCCUCUCCACAGAAAAAGACGAUUCUGCAGUUGGGGUGUUGUUUGUGGGUUAUUAUGUAGAAAGGUGGUGGGAAGUUCCUUGCCCAGUUCCUGCUUCCUCAGGGUCUCAAAAGUUAUUGUUUCCUCUUGACACAAAUUCUGAAGGUCUGCCCUGCCCUGUUGCCUUGUGUGUGCUUCAGAGGAAGGGAGGGGACACUCCUUUUCACUCCCUGACUGUGUUCCCCAUUCAGAUGGUGGUGUGGAUGAGGUAUGGUCAGUUUCAGAGAGUCUGCUUGCCUCCAAAAGGAAGCUCCCUCCAACUGCUGGAUUUUGAUCUCUCAGCACAAUACUAAAUAAAACUCCAAUCCUUGCAAACUGUUACCCAAUUGUUUAAAAACCUACAAUUGUUUUUCCAAAUUCUAAGGAUGCCCUUAGGAAUAUUUUAUAAGAAAGUAAGUUGAGCACGGACAACACACUUCAGAACAUCUCUUGUUCAUCUUAAAAACUACAUUUUAUUUGAUAUAGCAACCACUUUUAAACUAAGAAUAAAUCAAAGUAUAGUUUUUUUUUUCUGAUGGGAUCCCCAUAGCAUCCACAUGUGUCAAAGAUCCUGUAACCUGCCAGAGGAAAUUUUCUUUAUAUUAUUUACCUAAAAGUUUGAAAACAAAGUUUGAUUUUUACCCCUUUUCAAUCUAAAAAUCUUUUUAAAUUUUUUAAAAUUUAUUUAACUCUUAUGAUAUGCUACACACCAGGCUAUGUAAUGAGAAUAUGAAAAUGAAGAAAAGGAUAGCUUCAUGGAGCUUUCCAGUGCAAAAGAUGAAUGUCUUAUGCAUUAGUAUAUAUAGGCAUAAAAUAUUAAUAUACCUACACAUAUUAGUAGUGUGAUAAUUAGCAAUCCAUGGUAUAAUUGCAAGUAUAUAUGAAACAUAGAGGAGGGAGAGGUGAAGGGUGAUUGAGUUUAGGACGGUUCCAGAGGAGGACAAGUGUGAACAGGUUUUUCACAAAUGAAUAAUAAUUCAUCAAAUGGGGAAGAAGAAACCGGGGUAGAAAAGGAUUCCAAGUAACCCAAGCAAGGCAAUGGUGUUAGGAGUGGAAUGAUGUCCCUCCUAAUUCAAAUACUGAAAUCUGACACUCAUGACCUCAGAAUGUUAUCUUAUUUGAAGAAAGAUUAUUUACCAAGCUGAAAUGAGGCAUUAGGGGAAGCAGAUUAUAACUCUGUAAGAUUUGACUCUUCUUAAAAGGGUGAAUUUGGAUAGAGAAGGCCUUGUGAACAUCAAGAGAGAGGUCAUCUACAUGCCAAGGAACACCAAAGAUUUCUAGUAAACCAAGAGAAUCCAGGAGAGAGGCAUGGAAUGUGUUCUUCUUCACGGUUCUCAGAAGGACCCAACACAGGCAACACCUUGAUGUUAGACUUCCAACCUCCAAAACUAUAAAAUGAUAAAUUUCUGUCAUUCAAGCCACUUAUUUUGUGGUUCUUUAUUACAACAACCCUAGCAAACUUAUAUACAUGGGCAAAGUCUUGUAGAUUGGAAGAAAGUAUUAAGUUGUUUCAGGACUACUAGUAGUUAUGGAAGCUGAAUUCAUAGAGGCAUGAGAUGGAGAGCGUUUAGAGGUGAAUCUAUGUGAGAAAAUGGCAGUGGUCUCCUAAAGGUCAGGCCCAGGGGUUACACUUUAUCAAGUAAAUAAUGGGGAAUCAAUCAAGAAUCUUAAUAGAAUGCUGUGAUAUUUUUUCUUAAAAAAGACCAACCAUAGGUAAAGAAAGAACAUCAGGAGCAAGUGUUAUAAGGAAAGAGAUAAUUGGGCCAUACUUACUAGAGGAGACUGAUACAUGGGCAAUUUAAAGGUAUCUGCUAGGGAAAUUACUGAUAGUACCAAAGAGUAUGUCCUGCAGAGACCUGUACCAAUUCAAACCACGGGGGAGUUAAUCCAUAUGUUUAUUAUCCAACAGUAAAUAAACAAACAAAUAAUGCUCUCUGAUUCAUAGAAAAGAUCAGUAUUUCUUUCCUCCAGAUUACAAUCAUUAUACUCCAUGGAAAUAAUUACUGGAUAGGGAUUUUUCUUGAUCUUUAAGAAAUAGACUCCAUAUAAUAAGGUACAUUUUGCUAAUUGCAGACUCUCUUACUUACUAAUGGACAAACCCCCAAAGGGCUAACCACUAGACCCAUUGGCUCUUUAUUAAGUAGCCUGCAGUGUAGAUAAUCAUUUUCACUGAAUCUGACAUGCAGCCUCAUUGAACCAGUCUAGAGAAAAUCACAGGUUGAAAAGCCAAAAUCUUAGAUGUGAAAAUUACAAAGCUGAAUGUACUUUGAGCCAGUUGGUCUAUUCAGUACCAACUUGAUAUUUGACAAUAUUAUAAAGGAGCAUGACUGAAAAUAAAAACAACUCUAAAAAUACAUUUAUGGGUGCUUGGCAAAUUAUUACUUUUAGCAUAGCUGUUUAAAUACCUCUUCAUGUUUGCUCUCUCUCUUUCUCUCUCUUUUUUUUUUUUUUUUUUUGGCAUAGGCUUGGUAUAUACAACAAUAUAUUGACAUUUUCAUCUAUGAGGUCCCUGAACAGCUGUGCAUAGCCUUACUGGUAGUAAAUUUUCUUGUUCUCUAAUUAUUUGUUCUUUCUUUAUUUGUACAUUUAUAUAAAGAUACAUAAAAUAUAUCUACAUAUUUACUGAUCUUUUUGUACAUACACACACGCACACAAACAUACACAAAUAUAAAAACUUAUGUAAUUAUUUCUUAUGUAUUUCCUAGAAGUCAACUUGACUCUCAGCCCACCAAUGGGCUUCUAUAACAAAUAAGACCAGAUUAUCAAGUAAACUACGGAUAUAGGGAAGAUUUCUGAAGAGUUUACUUAUGAAAAAUGAAUAAUACAAACAUAAAAUCUGUAUAAUAAUUACAGGGCUAAAUUAUAACUUAUUUCCAGGAUAUUAUUCUUCCAAAGCAUUUUCUGAUGUGAAAUGAAAGGAUUAAGAGGACAACCAUGGUUGCUAAGCAAGAUAUACUAACAAUUUAUAGCACUUACUGUAUCCUUAGUAUAUACUAGACAUUUUACAAAGUUUUCUUAGGUUUUACUUUAUUUAAUUCUCUAAUGAAUAUAUACGGGAUUAUGAUUGUUAUCCUUAUUUCAUAUGGAGAAAUACUCUUAGAAAGUCUUAGUAAACUACAUAAAAAAUUGAUAAACAAUGGUGAAAUAGAUUUUCAUGGCAAAACAUUAGGAAAACAAUGUUUUCAUUAGAAAAUGGUCCGUGUAUGUGUGUGUGUGUGUGUGCAUACCUGCUCUUGUUUGUGAUAUGUGAGUAUGUGUUAUGUGUUGGUUUGUGGUGUGUGAAUCUACACUGGGGCCAGGGACUGAAGGAGGACAGAGGAAAAUUCUUUCUUCAUUCUUAAACAGCCUGUAAUAUCCUUACAGUAAGGUGAUGUGAUUUAUUUUGUAUUUGAGGAAAUGUGUCAGUAUUUUGUAGGCCUUCACAAAUGAAUUGUCACUUUAAAAAGAUGCUUAUUUGUAGUCAUCAACUUGUAUUGCACAAGUCUUUUCCCUUUUCUUCAUACUCCCUAUUGCUACAGAGACAAACUCAUGCCACCUGCAACUCUAUACAAGGCCACAAACCAAGUGAUUCAAUUCUCAAAAAAUCUAACAAGAAACUCCAUGAUAAACUGAAUAAGAGUGACCACAUUAAAAUGAAGCAGACUCGGGAAGACUGUACAGACAUUGAGAAUGUUCAUGGCUAUGUACCUGGAGCCCGUUUGUACAUGUGGCUUGGGUAUGUAUAAAUUUCAUCAACAGCUUCUUCCUGUUGUGGUUAAGUGACUCAAAGAAAGGAGAUAACUGAAACCGAAAAGCUGAAGGAACACCUUAUUUCAAACAAACCUCAGGGGUUUGCAAAUGGAUAGGCUCCUAAAUGCAAAAUCCCUCCCCUCGAAGAGGGCAUAUUUUGGUAGUUUAAUGCUUCUAGACUUCUGAUGGAGGAUUAUGUUUUCCCCCAACUUCAAAUAUUCCAGUCACAGUAAAACCCACACUUCUUUUUGGUCUCUUGUUUUCCAGAUGGAAACUUUCAUUUGGCAGGAUUCAGCUUAUCUAAACAAGUGCAAGAUAUUAAACUUCAAAAUAAAGGACUAGCAAUGUAUUUCACUCUUCAUACUCUCUGUGACCUUGGAAACUGUCUGCCAGUUGGCAAAGAUUGCUUCAUGGAAUGAUGCUGUUGACCUCAGCCUCUGCCUUUCCAAGAACUCUGAUGGUAACAGAGCUCUUCAAUGGGAAAGGGAUUCCUUCCUUUGAACACUUUGUUUUCAAUUCCCUCACACCUGCUACUGGAUCCAGGGAGGAGGUUUGCAAACACAGAGAGAUACAGUGGGAGAGAUCUUAGGUCAGGGCUACAAAAACAAGCACUGUUUGUUUGUUUUGCAACAACAAAAAAUGUCUACUUCCUCUCUGAAGAGCUGUGAUAAGCACUCCUAAAGUCCUCUGUUAGACUCUUACUGAAUUUAAUCUUUCUAUCUUAAGUCACAGAAAAGCCUACACUCUCCAUUGUUAACCCAAAAGUUAACACCCCACUUCCUAAAUACCACCCCUUCUUUUUCACAAGGCUUUUCCUUUUCCUUCCGGCCUCCACAAACUUAAGGAGGGUGAAGACACAAAAACAACACACACCCAAGUGCGCACACAGAUGUAUGCACACACACACAAAAAUAUACACGUGCGCACGCACAUACAAAUAUACACACAAAUGCCCCACACCUCACAAUAAUACCAGGAUUUUCAAAGAUGAACAUUUCAGUUUGCAAUCAACUAUUUAACUGAGGCAGAGAAAUAUGAAGGAAGGGCCCACAUUUCUUCCUUUCCCCGUGUCAUUAGCUUGAGUCAGAUGGUGUGGAAAAAAGGUAAUUCCAUAAGAAUUAUUUAAUUUCCAUAAAAAUAUGCAAGAAUUUAUUUUUUAUGGCAACAAAUAUUAAGUGUAACAGUCCUGUUCUCUUUGUUUUAAGAGAGUGGUAUUAUAGUUUUAUAAUAUUCACCAGUAAAAAAAAUAGUAUAAAUUUGCUAAUUCUCAGCCUCAUUUAAGAUGUAGAUGAGAACUUAAGAGUUCAUUGUUUCUUUGUGACAAUACAUUUGGUCUUUACUUAUUACAUCCAUCUUCCCAAAAGAAAAUUUAGGAGGUCAAUAAAGCUUUCUGGGGCUGUCAUCAGCAGCAUCAGCCCACCAGGGAUGAAGUAGAUCAUUCUUCUAAUAGCCACAUAACAUAAUUGAAAAAAGAGGCAGUGGUUUACUACUAGAAACGUUGUGUCUUAAACUACUUUAUGAGUUUAUGUUCAACUUGUAAUUCACUAACAAAACACAAAUCCUGAAAAAGGAAAUCCUAUUGGUCAUUGUAACAGCAUUUCAAAGAAGAAAAACACCUGUUUUAACCUUUCUUAAGUCUCUGGUCUCCAACUUCCCAGAAAAUCUAGCUAUUUUUUCCCUAAGAUAAUCCUCAUUCAUGAAGAUAACUGUAUCAAAUCUAAAUAGCAUAUGUAGGGAAUGCACACUUCCUCUGUAUCUAUAUUGUACAUUGAGAUUUUGAGUAUUUGAAAUGUGAUUUAUUCAAAUUGAGUGGAGUUGUAAAUAUAAAAUGCACAUUGAAUUUCAGAGA
rnacentral:lncRNA from 1 species